rnacentral:lncRNA from 1 species
CUAAUUCUGUAAUGUGAGAGCAAAUGUUAUUGCAGUAAACAAAAUUAAUCGUUGGUCCACAGCCAAACCAACCAACCAUACAUUGAACUAAACAAACCAACCGAAUUGUAGUGCUACAUGAUCACGAACGAACUCAGAGAAUUACAAUACGUAGAUUGAACUAAAAAAACCAACCGUAUUGUUGUGCUACAAGUUUCUUUAUCUAAAUUCACGUCUGGUUGCUACAAACGAAAACCAAGUGUGAAAAGGGUCUGGUACAAGUUUGGCAUUUGUAUCACUUCAUCUUUUCUUCCUUGAACAAAACAUGACAAUUCACACG